CCUCCCUUUCCCCCAAAAAAAAAAAAAAAAAAAACCCCUCUUCCGACUCUUCUUGGCACUCGUCUUUUUGUUUGCUCUCCCUUGAACCCUUCUGCUUCUUUCUAUCUCACUCGCUUUCGCAUUGCCUUGUCUUUCACCAAUGGCUUCCUUCAGGCCCGAAUCAGCCGCUGUCCCGACAUUUGACAGCAUUUCGUCGAUUAUUGUGAAAAUUUGCAUGGAAGAGGUUUGUGGUUCGAGACUUGGUCAAGAACAUGAGGAGCUAAGAGGGAUGAAAUUCAGACCUAAAAUGGACCAUUUGGGGCAUGAAUUACUAUGCAUAAGAGGAGUGUAUGGGGUUUACCAUGCAUUUGAACACAAGGGAUCAUAUUGACUUGUCAAAGUUUAAGAUAGUCGCAAUGCGGCUAACAGACUUUGAAGACAAAAUUCAAAUUUAAUUUUGAGCUAUAUUGUAACAUUCUGAUUUUUUAAUCUUACGAUUAGCUAUUAAUCAGGGGUAGAUUAUUAAUUAGUAAAUGAUUAGAAGUUUGGAUGGUUAUUUAAUGAUUUGACUCCUUGGCAUGUUGAAUGAGCAGAUACGGGUGGAAGAAUCGUGUUUUGAAACGAAGCGUGUGAGCGUGGUGGGGAUUUCCUUACUGUGAUAUGUGCUGCGGCAUAAGGCUGCUUGUGCCAUGACAUAUGGUAUAGAAAAUGACUUGAUUUUUGUGUGUGGAGCUUGUGAGUUCAGAAGGAAAAGGAAGAGAAACAUGAAAGAGAGAGGAGAGGAAGGCUUUGGCUACUAGGGCAAGAGAUUUCAAAGCAUUUAAAGGUACUUGAAUCACUCCGAUCGGAUGUUGUAUGUGGAAACGGUGCAUGCCGAAAGUUUGUUUUGUGAACUGUCACAUGACAGUUCGUAUCACACUGCAGUGCAUGACACAGAGAAGGCCAGCUUAUGGGUUUAUGCCACACGUCAUGGCACAUGUGGUGCAUGUCACGGCUUAUAGACCAAAUUUUGACUUAUUUUCCUUCUUUAAAAGGACAAACAAUCAAGGAGGAGGACAACAAGGCAUGUAUAGGAACACAUACAAUCCUACAUAGAGGAAUCAUCCAAACUUAUCAUAUGCCAAUCAAAAUGGAGUUUUGAAUCAAGAACACUAACGAGGAGGAUACAAAAGUGAUGAAGAUGAGGAAGGAGUGGAACAAGUUUAUGUUGAUCCUCCAUCUUAAAAGGAGUCAAAAGAGCAAGAAAAUCAAGGAAAUCAAGCCACAUGCCAUUAUACAACAAGAGGCCAAAAAUGUCAGAAUGAGAAGGGGAAAGAAGUUGUCCAAAACCAAGAGAUUGCAAAGAAAUAGCCUUCCCUCAAGCCCAAGCAUCUAGAUCACUAGCUCAAGCACCACAAGAUCAAGAGGUCUUCACGUGUGAAUUGGCAGGCUGAAUGCUAGGCUCAAUUAUGUGGAACCACUAUAUCAUGCAUGGAAUGGCUGUUUCAAAACCUAAAUCAUUCGAGAAGAGAGAUCACACGUGGAACACUAUAAUACUCAUGUGUGAAAUGGCCUUAAACAACCAGGAAAUGACACAAAUGUUUACUUGACACCAUUGAUUGAAGAUUUGAAGAUGAUGUGGGAGGAAAAAUAUGGAGAAUCUCGUCACUGACAAAAAAAAUUCUAAAAGACAUAAAGGAGGGGCCACACGACUGACUAAAUUGGCCCUAAAUUCAUGAAAAAGUUCAUCUUGAUUUUGAUGACAAUGGCCAGCCAAUUGAUAAGAAGAAAGGAAACAUCUUUAAAAGUUUUGUAGGUUUGGUGGCACGUCAAAAAAUCAACAUCUUGGAGGAAAAGUGGGAUGAUAUCAAUGAAAGUGAUAGAAAUGAUGUUUGGAAAUCUAUACUGAUUACUAUGACAUCAAGGAAACUCCAUUUUUAAAGGACAAGUGGCUAAAGUAUGCUGGGGACCGAUAGAGGGACUUUAAAUCCAAGGAAAAAAGUCAAAAAGGUCAAGAGCAUUGAAAGAAAAAUCUAUACAACUAUACUAUGUCUCAAGGAGGGUAUGCAUAUAUUUAUAAUAUAAUGGAUCAAGAGAAGUGGGAAGCUAAAAGACAAGCAGUGGGAGUUGAUAAUAUUGAAGACAUUUCUCCUCCAUCUCCUGUUAAUCGUGCUCAAGCAUGGAAGAGAGGAUAGAAGAAUAAAAAGGGAGAGUUUAUUUCCCCGGAGGCUAGAGAAGUAGUUGAGAAAAUUGAUGUUCUUACAGAAGCAUCAUCCGAGGGGAUCUUUAUGUCUAUUGGCAGAAAGGACAUAUUGACCAUGGCCUAAGGGAGUGAAGGGCACCCCUACUGUGUUAUUGCGGUUCUAAAAGGUAUAGGUAUAAGACAAUAUUUUAAACCUCCACCAUCUAAUCUUAUGCCAAUCCAGCAAGUACAAAUGAUGAUAGCAGAAUGCAAGUCAAGCAUGAUGAUUGAAAUGCAAUCAAUGAUUAGUAAUUUACAAAUGCAACCACAACAAACACUGAAUUAUGGUAGUGCUAUAGAUCUAGUGUGUGAUCUUAGCCUAUCAGAUUAAGGAAUGCCUUGCAUACUUUAAGUAAAGGAUCAUGGCAAGCAAGUAGUUGCAUAUGGAAAGGUGUAUAACCAUUCAACUAUAGUCCACCAUCAGCAGAUACAACAUAACCAAGUAAAGGUGAUGGUUGAAGAGGUUGUGGACGCUAAUGCUCCUGUACUAUUUCCUCCUGAAGAGGUGGAGACAAUGGGACAAGCUCAACAUAAUUUCAUUAUUUGGUUGACAAAGCUAGUCCAUAGGUUACUAAAGAGGUACCUCCACAAGAUAUGCACCAAACUCGGUGUCGAUAAGAAUUAUGGGUUCUUAUCUCCACUUUUAACCUCCAUUGAUAAAGUGAAUCAAAGAGCUUCUUAUAUUGGAAAGACAAUGUGUAAGCAAAAAAAGAAAUGCUGGUUUUUACCAAUUAUUGAGAGUCAUCAUUGGAUGCUUACUGUCAUUUGGCCGUAUGAAAAUACUAUAUACUGCAUUUGUUCACUGCAAAAGGAAAAUCUUUAGUGACAUAUUGGAAAUCAGCGGGAAUGGUUGACAAGAAAAAAAAUGAAAUCAAGUUUGUACCAAUGCAAUGUCCUCAACAAUCAGGAAGUGUAGAGUGCAGUUAUUAUGUGAUGAUUUUUAUGUAUAAAAUCAUCACUUAAGGUAUUGGUCACUCAUUUGAAUAGGUGAAUAAGUGUGACAAAUAAAGACAUAACUCAAUUGGCACAUGAGGAAGCUUGAGCACGAAAUUUCAGACCUGAAUGGGCUUAAAAAUAGUGUGAUUUAUCUGGUCUAAUGAGGCACACAUGAAGGUUCCAUGCACUUGCACAUAAUGGAUCAAGUUGACUUGUCAAAGCUCAAGUUAAUUGCAAUGUGUUUGAGAAGCUUGGAGGCAAAUUUCAUAUCUGAAUUUAAGCUUCAUUUAGAGUGAAUUCCAAGGAAAUUAACGGAGCAUAAGAGCUUAUCAUAUCCAUGCAUAUAUGGGAUUAGAAGAGAAAGCAUUGGAAUUAUCACCCAAGUUAACUUGCAACCCAGACUACCCUUAACCUCACUUGACCUAAUGACUUGUGUUUAGUUUUUUGGAAACUUGUUUAGCAAGUAGACCACCACAAUUUCAUCCCAAACACUUCUUAGCUAGCUUAGGAUCAAUUUUUUCAGAUCAUUAACUCAUAUUUUGAAAUUUCAAGCUUCAAGUUCUCUCACUUCUCUCUCUAUACUUCCAUUCUCUCUCCUCUAUAUCUUUCAAACUAACCAUCCAACUUUCACAAAACCACCACCAUUCUCUUUCUCUUUUCUUCCUUUACAUAACCUAAUAGCUUUCUCAAGGAUUAAACCAAGCUAUCAUAGGGCAAAAUCAUGGUGAAGAAGACCAUAAUCUUCGAGCUUCAUCUUGUUCAUCACUUGAAGAUGUAAGGCUAGAUUCUUGAAGGAGCUACUAUGUGGAGAAGGAAACCUUGAAUUUGUACUAUUUUCUAGUUGAAUUUGAAUUUCUUCUCUCUACUUUUCUCUCUCUAGAAUUGAAAAUUUUUAUGACUCUUUGAUCUUAUAAUUUCAAGUGAUGAUUCAUAUA